AGAGUCCUGAUGUGUACGUUAUCGUACCUUUUCGUUUUGACCGAACAUUUUUAACAUAGGGAGUUCAAGUUUUCAGGCGGCAUGCAAGCCUCUGCGAGAGGACGUAUAAGGCCCGGAACAGGACACCCACCUGCGAAGAGCGGGUUCAAAACAUAGGCAAUUCAUGACGGCACGAUUGGGGCUCGU
rnacentral:other from 1 species